rnacentral:tRNA from 1 species
CUUAUAGUGUAGUGGUUAGCACCCGAGGUUCUGAUCCUCGUGACCCGGGUUCGAAUCCCGGUAG